rnacentral:rRNA from 1 species
UACAGAGGGGGCAAGCGUUGUUCGGAAUUACUGGGCGUAAAGGGCGCGUAGGCGGCCUUCUAAGUCGAACGUGAAAUCCCUGGGCUCAACCCAGGAACUGCGUCCGAUACUGGAAGGCUUGAACCCGGGAGAGGGAUGCGGAAUUCCAGGUGUAGCGGUGAAAUGCGUAGAUAUCUGGAGGAACACCGGUGGCGAAGGCGGCAUCCUGGACCGGUAUUGACGCUGAGGCGCGAAAGCCAGGGGAGCAAACGGG